rnacentral:rRNA from 1 species
GCGGCGACAGCGACAACUGCGCUAGGGUUCCUGAAGCUCUGCUCCGGCGUCAAUGGAGUUCUUGAUGCAGCCCUUCAACAGGGGAAACCAAUAGUGGAGAAUACUCGGUCAUGCUGUUGCGAAUGUCCUGCCCUUGUAAGAUUGCUGUGGUCAAAAGACAAUGGGUGGUACAUAGCAGAGCACAAGGAUAAUCACAAUCAUGCCUUGUCCAACACCUAUGGACAAACUUUGCACUGGCCAUCGCACAAGCACAUCAACGUGUACAGCAGGGAUCUGGUGAAGCAGCUGCGAGAGAACAAUGUGAACCUAUCCAAAGUGUACAACAUUAUUGGUAGUUUCUUUGGGAGGAUGGAGAAUGUACCAUUCACAAAGAGAGCGCUCAGGAACUUGUGUGGCAAAAUCAGUCGUGACCAGGCAGAGGAUGACGUUAGGAAGAUAAUGGAGGUGUUUUAG